GGAAAUGCCCUAAAACCAAUAAUAACAAGAAAUCGUUAAUGUGUAUAUAUGUCAAAUACAUAAUUUAAGCAAAUAGUUCAAUUUAAGACAAUUAUAUGUAAUUACCUCUGGAAUGUUCGGCUGAAAGGUACAAUUGAUACUGUUUUUGUCCGAAGCAUCUCUGUAUACUGUUGAGGUGCUAGCCUCUCUUUCUCUCCUCAAUGCAUCAAGCUCAGCUUGCAUGGCUUCCAGUCUUGCAUGAAGCUCCC
rnacentral:lncRNA from 1 species